rnacentral:lncRNA from 1 species
CCCUCUUUUCUAAAUCUGCCACCAAACAACCCUUAUUCUUUCUCUCUUCUUCGUAACGUUAACUUGCUUUCAUCUCCAACGGGAAGAAAAAUGCAAUUUGAGUAUAAAACAUGAUUUGGUAGAAAUCUUCAAGGUAUGAGAGUUAAAAUUUGUUCUUAAUUUUUAUUAUUUAAAUCCUCUCAUCUCUCUUCCUCUUGCUUUCAUGAUUGUUUGCUAAAGAAAAGAGAAAAUUGAUUUUUAUGAGAGAAAUUAUUUGCUCUUAAUUUUCAAAAUACAAAUUCUCUCAUCUCUGUUCUUUAUCUUGCUUCAUUGCAUUAUAUCUAAGAGAAGAUAAUAGAACCAAUUCUAUGGAGGGAGAUUUUCUAAACAAAACUGAUUUCAUAUUUAAAAAUCUUUCUCCUAAGCCGAACUUAGCAUAUCCCUCUAUCUAUUGUAGUUUUUGUAAUCUAGAAUGGAUAUAAGUUUUUUAAUCUCAAAAUCUGUGAAUGACAACUUUAUGUAAAGCUUGUUUGUAAGGGUUUUCAAGCAUCCAUCUUGUAUUAGAAUAAGUCUUACAAAUUUGCUAGUUCUUUGAAAAAACUAGUUAAGUUUUCUAGUUCUUUAGAAAAACUAGAGUUUAAGUUUUCUAGUUUUUUACUAAAACUAGACGUUAAGUUUACUUGUUCUUUGCAAAAAUAAGUUAAGUUUCCUAAUUCUUUAUAAAAACUAGUAGGGUUAAGUUUACAAGUUCUUUGCAAAAACUUGUGGCUUAUGGUUAGCUCUAAGUGAUAAGAUUAUUUCCGUUGUAAUAGGCUUUACUUUUGCCAUUGAAAAGAGUAGGUUAGUGGAGAAUCUCAAGAUGGAUUCUUGAGUAAUGAAUGUAGGUGAGUUGAGUGCCAAACCACUAUAAAUUUUUUGUAUUAGAUUUCUCCUCUUUUCUUUCUCUUUGUGGCUUUGCUUGAAAUUACUUACUCACACAAAUAUAUUAUGAUGAUAUCCUUGAAUAUUGGUUGAUCAAUUGCUCUAUGUGCUAAAUUGUGUAUACUUUGUGAUUGAAAUCUACUUUGUACCAAAACUGAAUUUGAGUUGCAGAAAUGCUUUAUUUUCGAUGAGCUAGAAUCAGAAAAAUUUCCAGAUUUGAUAUUUUAAUGAACAUGUUAAAUUGUUUACAUAUUUAAGUAAUUUAUAUACUCUUAUAAUGUGGAUAUUCAUUGAAUAUGUUAAAUUGUUUACAUAUUUACGUAAUUUAUAUGCUCUUAUAAUGUGGCUAUUUAUUGGACAUUCAUUUGAAAAAGGUCUUUAAAAGCCUAAAUUUUUAAAAAUCAUAAUUCGCCGCCUCUUGUCUAUAGCUUAUCGGGACUUAUAUUGUCAUUUUAAAUUUAAAUGCCAAUAAAAAUACUAUUUUUACUCAACAUAAACAUUUGAUAGCUUAAUAACCAAUAACUAUUAAAUCAGCUAAUAGCUAUUAUAACAGACCCUUAAAUCCAUAAAUUUUGUUUUUCAAUAAAAAAAAUAAUUUUUAAUUUCUAAAAACAAGAAAAAUUUUAAAUUCCAUAGCUUUUGUAAUAUCCAUUGGUUUUUCAUUUCAUCAAUCCCAACAACCACAAACUGAAAUUGAAAUAAGAAAAAUCGAAAAAGAAAAUAUGCUUUAUGAUUUUAUUAGCAUAUUAUUCUAAAUGUGUUCUCUUCUUUUCUCUAAUUUCUUCACUCACGAUAACAGCUCAGCUCUUGAACUAAAGCAUUGAAAUCAGAGUAAGAAGAUCCACCUUCUUCAAUAGCUUGUCUUGCCAUCUCUCCGCACUGUCUUGCUCUGCUCCUCAUUUCCUCAGCUUCUUCGCCUGCCAUAACUCUAUUAAUUGCCUUCUCUAUAGCUUCUCUUUUAAUAUAAUCCCCACGCAAUCUAACAAUUUCCUUAGCACCGACACCAAUCCCAAUUUUCAGAACCUCAGUCACUAACUUCUCAUUAAAGAAUUGCUCAGCAAAUACAGGCCAUGUGACCAUUGGUUUCCCUGAAGUUACACCUUCAAGUGUAGAAUUCCAUCCACAAUGAGUCACAAAUGCUCCUAUUGCUUCAUGUUCAAGAAUCAACACUUGUGGCGCCCACCCUCUUAUGAUAAGUCCUUUCCCUUCCAUUUUCUUCUCAAAUCCUUCAGCCAGCCAUUCUUCUUCAUUUCCUUCACUAUUCUUGUUUCUUGUCACUACCCAAAUGAAUUUUUGUCCAGCAGCUUCUAGAGCUAUUGCGAUUUCCUUAAGUUGAGAGUCACUGAAAUUAGAUGAACUUCCAAAACAUAUAUAAAUAACUGAAUUCGGUUUCUUGGAGUUUAGCCAUUUCAAACACUCAUGUUCAUCAAUGGAAGCUUCUUUUCCUCUUUGUGCUUUAUCUUCCAUUCCUCUAUUGCUUAUCGAGACUGGGCCUAUAUGCCGUGCCGUUCUGCCCAAAACAUUCCUGUAAUGAUCAGCGUAAGCUUGCUCGAGCUCGUAGAAACUGUUUACAACCACUCCAAAGCUCUUUAACUCUGACUCCAUCGAUUCUUUAAUCAUCUUAGUAAAAGCAUUUUCAACUUCUUCUCUAAAAGAACUGGGGAGUUGUUUUCUUGUUAUCUUUAUUUCUCCUGGAAGACUUGGAAUGACAAAGGGCUCUGAAUCUGAUAAAAAUUUUCUGUGUGGCUGAUACAGCCUAAUAGAUUCUCCGGCGCACAAAGAAAAGAAACUAGUGCCAUGAAACACUAAUCUUGGAAUUGCAAAUUUGGAAGCAGCAUCAGUAGCCCAAGGAA